GUCACUGCUAUCGGGGUUCGAUUAAGCCAUGCGAGUUGAGAGGGUUUAGACCCUCAGCGGACUGCUCAGUAACACGUGGAUAACCUGCCCUAAGGUGGAGAAUAACCCCGGGAAACUGGGGAUAAUACUCCAUAGAUUAGAGAUACUGGAAUGUUCUCUAGUCGAAAGCUCCGGCGCCUUAGGAUGGAUCUGCGGUCGAUUAGGUUGUUGUUGGGGUAACGGCCCAACAAGCCUGUAAUCGAUACGGGUUGUGGGAGCAAGAGCCCGGAGAUGGAAUCUGAGACACGAUUCCAGGCCCUACGGGGCGCAGCAGGCGCGAAAACUUUACAAUGCAGGAAACUGUGAUAAGGGAACCCCGAGUGCCCGUAUACGCGGGCUGUCCAGGUGUUUAAAACGCAUCUGAAGAAAGGGCCGGGCAAGACCGGUGCCAGCCGCCGCGGUAAUACCGGCGGCUCGAGUGGUGGCCACUUUUAUUGGGCUUAAAGCGUCCGUAGCUGGACCCUUAAGUCUCUUGGGAAAUCCGCCGGCUUAACCGGCGGGCGUCUAAGAGAUACUGGGGGUCUAGGGACCGGGAGAGGUGAGGGGUACUCCGGGGGUAGGAGUGAAAUCCUGUAAUCCCCGGGGGACCACCUAUGGCGAAGGCAUCUCACCAGAACGGCUCCGACAGUGAGGGACGAAAGCUGGGGGAGCGAACCGGAUUAGAUACCCGGGUAGUCCCAGCCGUAAACUAUGCGCGUUAGGUGUACUGGUGACCACGAGUCACUGGGGUGCCGAAGGGAAACCGUGAAACGUGCCGCCUGGGAAGUACGGUCGCAAGGCUGAAACUUAAAGGAAUUGGCGGGGGAGCACCACAACGGGUGGAGCCUGCGGUUUAAUUGGACUCAACGCCGGAAAUCUCACCGGAUAGGACAGACAUAUGAUAGCCGGGCUGAAGACUCUGCUUGAUGAUCUGAGAGGAGGUGCAUGGCCGUCGUCAGUUCGUACUGUGAAGCAUCCUGUUUAGUCAGG
rnacentral:rRNA from 1 species